UGUACGUGAUUAUCGUGUGCAUGUAAUCGUUUACAAAGAUGGUACCAAAAAUUAUUGUUAGCGUUCUGUACUAUAUACAUACGUGUCUUCUGAUAUAAAAUAUUUGAUCAUCGAGAAAUCAUUUGUUUUUUUCAAUGGCAAUGGUAAAAUGUUCCACAGUUGCAUGAUUAAACGUAUCCUUUCAAAAUACACACCAUGCGCAAAAUGUAUGUUUAUUCUUCGAGCGAUAUAUCUUUGACAAUCUCUGACUGAGAAAUAUGCGAUUUAAAAAUAUCGUAUCGAUGUUUGAUCGAAUUUCAAAAUAAGAGUAAUUAAUAACGCAACAUGACAAAGAUUUACGAGCAAAUAUUGAUCCAUAUAAAAGAGCAAGCCUUAUACUUGAGGAUUUUAAAACGAGUUCCGAAGUCAAAGUAGAAACGUGCAAAGACAAGAUGUUUGUCAAGUUAAUACUGAUCGUCUCAGCGAUGUUUAGCUUCGUUUGCGUACGAAGUAUCGAAAACGAUGUUCAGCAUUUAUCAUUGUUCUCCUCAAGUCGCUCCGAGUCUAUCACGGAUGCUGAAUCAGUCGUCACCGAUGGACGCUGCGCCCUUCCACCAACCACUCAAGCAAGUAUAAAUAUACCUUUUAAUCACAAAAUAAUGAAUUCGGAUGUGGCACGUCUCAAGAAAAGAACCCCAAGUCACAAGGAACAAGAUAAGCAACAAGAUUUACGACCAGGAUGUUGUGGAUAAACAAAUUAUUCGUCAUCGAUCAAUUCUUUCUCGUGAAUAUUUGUUUUGAAAGUAUUUACGUACAAAUUAUAGAUGCGCAUAUUAUGAAUACGUUUCCUCUUUUUGGCUUCUUCCACAGAUAAGAUAGUAAAUAAAAUAAAAUAAUGGCUGUCACGCCGCAUAAACAUAAUUAGGAAAUAUUUCUUUUUGUCAUUCCUAUUCGCCAAUACCACAAAUUUAACGGAUAUAAUAAGGGUAAAAUAAAAUAAUUCGUAUGGAAAACUUUUAUUAACAUUAUGUACGAGUACAUAAUGACUUAUACGCACUGCGAACGUCAAUUUAAUAACUCUUUAAGUUAUUUAACCCCAAAAUAUAAAUAUGCAGUAGACCAGUGCAAUAUAUUGCAUAUUACAUUGUAACUUGUAAAAUUGCUAAACCUUCAUCGCAGAAGAUAAGGAGAUAGAUAAAAAAAGAUCCAUUUUUAUUCUUGGCAUGUCUACGUAAGACGUGAUAUAUAAAGAAUGGAAUGCUACUGUGACAUAAACGACAUACUAUAAUCAAUGUUUAAGUAAAUGCAGUACUUGUUCAACAUUGUUUUUGUGCUACUAUAUGAAAAGAUGUUGUAAAAAUUUUUCGUAUCAAAUUUUGCGACGAUCACUUUUUUUUUCAUUACGUGUUACACCGGG